UUUUAAUUUUCGCUGAGUCCUUGAAUGGAAAAGGAACGGGGGAACCAGUCGGGAGAUGAACCUGAUCUCUCUGGGGUGAAUCCUGUAGACAAGAUAACGGUCUAUGGGUAGGGCGACUCUCACGCCCGAAUCCGUCAGCUAACCUCGUAAGCGUAUCGAGAGAGGCAAC
rfam:Paenibacillus sp. Y412MC10, complete genome.